ACGUUUGUGCAGCCUGCCCAGGGGGCCGACAGCCAGGCAAGGGCUGGCCUGUGGGUGUCUGGCCCAGCUGGACGUCGGCUGCCUUCCUCCUGCCGGCCCUGGCGCUCAGCCCACAGCUGGCGCGACGCUGAGACCUUUCCCCCACUUCCAGCUCGGGCUCCAGAUGAUUCCAGGCCCCUAAAGUUUACAGAAGUCACAUGUGCCUGGCAAGGGCUUCCCAGGCCAUUCCCUGCCUCCUCUCUGCUUGCUUGGGCCUGAAGGCCACACAAGCAAGCAGGGAAGAGAACUCUGGCCCCUGAGGAGCUUGCCUACACAGUGGGCCAGUCAUCAUGGGACCCUGCUUGUGUCCCCAGCCUCUGUUGUCUGCUUCUGAUUCCCUGGACCUUGAGAACCACAGGCCCAGCUGUUGGUGCUCCCUGCUGCGUCACUGUCCCACGGGGUUCCCCGAUCUCUCACAGCCCAGACACCAUCCUCAAGACACAGAGUGACAACAGUGGGGGACAGCAGGGCCCAGAGAGGAAUGCAGGUCUUCCCGCUCCAGAGCCCAAGGCCCAGAUGGAGAAACUGAGGCACAGAGCAGCUCCCUGGUUGGAGAGGGAAUGUAAAGGAGGCUGUCGUGGCUACCCCUCCCCGCCCAGCCUCUCAGGGAACCCCAUCUCGAUGGAAGCCUGCAGAUGCUCCCCCCAGCCCCGACUCCCUCUAGCCUGCUGUCUUGUCAGGCCUGGCAACAGAACUGUCCCAGCUGCUUGGGGAUUGCAGGACAGGGGCACCCGGAGUCAAGCCAGUGCUCUGGAAACAUCCUGGGAGCCGGAUGCUGCCCUGUGACGGGUGGUCACCAUGCCUUUCCUGAGCUGCCGUUUUUGCAGUUUGAGAACGGAGUAGUGAUAAAACCCAGUUCCUGGGUUCGUGUGAGGACGAAGAUGGUGCAUAUAAGGUGCUGAGCCCGGUGUGAGCGCUCAGUGUGCCCAAUUAUAUUAGAACUUCCCGGCACAGAGUGUCUGCCCUCCACCUUCUAUUAAGAAAUAGCAGUUCCGAAAAUACAAACAGACAAAACAAAAAAACAAGAUUUCCUGGGUGGCUCAGUCGAUUAAGCGUCCAACUCUUGAUCUCAGCUCAGGGUCCUGAGUUCAAGCCCCGCACUGGGCUCUGGACUAGAUGUGGAGCCUACUUCAAACAAAAAACAAAAAACGAAAUAGCAGCCCUCCCCCUUCCCUCCCAUCCAUCCCCUUCACUUCCUUCCUUAACAAUCUGGUUCAAAACCCAUAGGUGAGUGCAAGGUAGGGGUGUGUGUCUGGUUGGGGGACACAGUGGUGAGAGCGGGUGUGGGCACACAGCGGAGUAAGGAGGGCAUCGCCCAGCCUGACAGGGACAAGCAGGUGCUCCGUGGGAGGGCAGGGAGGCGGCCUGGCACAGGGUCAGAGACUGAGCAGUGGGGCAGGACAGCGUGGUACGGUGCCAGGUCCCAGCAGAGGAGGAGGACGUGGGGGUGCUGCCCAGUGUGGGUGCAGCUCCCGAGCAGGGUGAGGGCAGCAUCCGGGGGGAGGGUGCAGAUGGGGAUCCCCGUGGCGGGGGCUGGCGUGAGCUGUCAGAGCCCAGACGGGGCGAGGGGCGUUGGCCCCGGGGCAGCUGAGAGGAGGCCCACAUGGAAGGCCGGUUCCCGGUUCCCUGGGAGGGGCUGGCCUGAUGAGUGACCACAUUACGGAAGCCACUCUCCCCCACCCCCCAUCGGAGGAGAGUUACAAACGUGGAAAAGGAGCAAACUGGAGCGGACCUACACUGUUCGUUGGCACUGGAGAAGCUCCCUGUGGGAACUCAAAGUUUUCAAUAUUUCUUUAUUUCAAUAUUUACAGAUAGAGAAACAAAU